GUAGAACAAAGGACUCUGUUAUUAGCCCUUGACUUCAACGGAACACUUUCUGCUCCUUUUUCUUUUAAAUCAGAUGAAAUGGAAUGAGAAAAAAAGAACCUUAAAAUGAAAACCUAUUAAAAAAAAAAAGAGAGAGAGAAGCAUAAUCAAGCGAUUCAAAUUCACUGAAACAGAAAGAGGAACUUCAUCUUGCAAUUCUUUGCAGCUUGUUUAUUUUACAUAUACAAUACCAAGCCACUGACUGCAUGUAUCUAUGAGCAAAACCACUGAUGGAAAACUGACCAGCAGAUGUAAAAGAAUAGGUUUUUACUACAGCUUUUGGAAAACGAGAAGUUUUUAG
rnacentral:lncRNA from 1 species